rnacentral:rRNA from 1 species
UAGGGAAUAUUGGACAAUGGGCGCAAGCCUGAUCCAGCCAUGCCGCGUGAGUGAAGAAGGCCCUCGGGUUGUAAAGCUCUUUUGUCCGGAAAGAAAAGCAUCGGGCUAAUACCCUGGUGUUCUGACGGUACCGGAAGAAUAAGCACCGGCUAACUUCGUGCCAGCAGCCGCGGUAAUACGAAGGGUGCAAGCGUUACUCGGAAUUACUGGGCGUAAAGCGUGCGUAGGUGGUUUGUUAAGUCUGAUGUGAAAGCCCUGGGCUCAACCUGGGAAUGGCAUUGGAAACUGGCGGACUCGAGUGCGGUAGAGGGGUGUGGAAUUCCCGGUGUAGCAGUGAAAUGCGUAGAGAUCGGGAGGAACACCAGUGGGCGAAGGCGACACCCUGGACCAGCACUGACACUGAGGCACGAAAGCGUGGGGAGCAAACAGGAUUAGAUACCCUGGGUAGUCCACGCCCUAAACGAUGCGAACUGGAUGUUGGGUGCAACUUGGCACUCAGUAUCGAAGCUAACGCGUU